rnacentral:rRNA from 1 species
GGGGGUGAAAGGCCAAUCAAACCGGGAGAUAGCUGGUUCUCCCCGAAAGCUAUUUAGGUAGCGCCUCGUGAAUUCAUCUCCGGGGGUAGAGCACUGUUUCGGCUAGGGGGCCAUCCCGGCUUACCAACCCGAUGCAAACUGCGAAUACCGGAGAAUGUUAUCACGGGAGACACACGGCGGGUGCUAACGUCCGUCGUGAAGAGGGAAACAACCCAGACCGCCAGCUAAGGUCCCAAAGUCAUGGUUAAGUGGGAAACGAUGUGGGAAGGCCCAGACAGCCAGGAUGUUGGCUUAGAAGCAGCCAUCAUUUAAAGAAAGCGUAAUAGCUCACUGGUCGAGUCGGCCUGCGCGGAAGAUGUAACGGGGCUAAACCAUGCACCGAAGCUGCGGCAGCGAACGUAUCACCCAAGACAACUUUACGGAGUUGACGAUUGACGGAGCGAAGCGACGUCAAAGCGUUCAUUAAAGUCGAGUUGGCUUAGGGAUACGUUCGUUGGGUAGGGGAGCGUUCUGUAAGCCUGUGAAGGUGUGUCGUGAGGCAUGCUGGAGGUAUCAGAAGUGCGAAUGCUGACAUAAGUAACGAUAAAGCGGGUGAAAAGCCCGCUCGCCGGAAGACCAAGGGUUCCUGUCCAACGUUAAUCGGGGCAGGGUGAGUCGACCCCUAAGGCGAGGCCGAAAGGCGUAGUCGAUGGGAAACGGGUUAAUAUUCCCGUACUUGGUGUUACUGCGAAGGGGGGACGGAGAAGGCUAUGUUGGCCGGGCGACGGUUGUCCCGGUUUAAGCGUGUAGGUGUGUGUUCCAGGUAAAUCCGGUUCACUUUAACACUGAGGCGUGACGACGAGGCACUACGGUGCUGAAGCAACAAAUGCCCUGCUUCCAGGAAAAGCCUCUAAGCAUCAGGUAACAUCAAAUCGUACCCCAAACCGACACAGGUGGUCAGGUAGAGAAUACCAAGGCGCUUGAGAGAACUCGGGUGAAGGAACUAGGCAAAAUGGUGCCGUAACUUCGGGAGAAGGCACGCUGACACGUAGGUGAAGUGAUUUACUCAUGGAGCUGAAGUCAGUCGAAGAUACCAGCUGGCUGCAACUGUUUAUUAAAAACACAGCACUGUGCAAACACGAAAGUGGACGUAUACGGUGUGACGCCUGCCCGGUGCCGGAAGGUUAAUUGAUGGGGUCAGCGCAAGCGAAGCUCCUGAUCGAAGCCCCGGUAAACGGCGGCCGUAACUAUAACGGUCCUAAGGUAGCGAAAUUCCUUGUCGGGUAAGUUCCGACCUGCACGAAUGGCGUAAUGAUGGCCAGGCUGUCUCCACCCGAGACUCAGUGAAAUUGAACUCGCUGUGAAGAUGCAGUGUACCCGCGGCAAGACGGAAAGACCCCGUGAACCUUUACUAUAGCUUGACACUGAACAUUGAGCCUUGAUGUGUAGGAUAGGUGGGAGGCUUUGAAGUGUGGACGCCAGUCUGCAUGGAGCCGACCUUGAAAUACCACCCUUUAAUGUUUGAUGUUCUAACGUGGACCCGUAAUCCGGGUUGCGGACAGUGUCUGGUGGGUAGUUUGACUGGGGCGGUCUCCUCCUAAAGAGUAACGGAGGAGCACGAAGGUUGGCUAAUCCUGGUCGGACAUCAGGAGGUUAGUGCAAUGGCAUAAGCCAGCUUGACUGCGAGCGUGACGGCGCGAGCAGGUGCGAAAGCAGGUCAUAGUGAUCCGGUGGUUCUGAAUGGAAGGGCCAUCGCUCAACGGAUAAAAGGUACUCCGGGGAUAACAGGCUGAUACCGCCCAAGAGUUCAUAUCGACGGCGGUGUUUGGCACCUCGAUGUCGGCUCAUCACAUCCUGGGGCUGAAGUAGGUCCCAAGGGUAUGGCUGUUCGCCAUUUAAAGUGGUACGCGAGCUGGGUUUAGAACGUCGUGAGACAGUUCGGUCCCUAUCUGCCGUGGGCGCUGGAGAACUGAGGGGGGCUGCUCCUAGUACGAGAGGACCGGAGUGGACGCAUCACUGGUGUUCGGGUUGUCAUGCCAAUGGCACUGCCCGGUAGCUAAAUGCGGAAGAGAUAAGUGCUGAAAGCAUCUAAGCACGAAACUUGCCCCGA